rnacentral:rRNA from 1 species
ACUACGGUGCUGAAGCAACAAAUGCCCUGCUUCCAGGAAAAGCCUCUAAGCAUCAGGUAACACGAAAUCGUACCCCAAACCGACACAGGUGGUCAGGUAGAGAAUACCAAGGCGCUUGAGAGAACUCGGGUGAAGGAACUAGGCAAAAUGGUGCCGUAACUUCGGGAGAAGGCACGCUGACACGUAGGUGAAGUGAUUUACUCAUGGAGCUGAAGUCAGUCGAAGAUACCAGCUGGCUGCAACUGUUUAUUAAAAACACAGCACUGUGCAAACACGAAAGUGGACGUAUACGGUGUGACGCCUGCCCGGUGCCGGAAGGUUAAUUGAUGGGGUCAGCGCAAGCGAAGCUCCUGAUCGAAGCCCCGGUAAACGGCGGCCGUAACUAUAACGGUCCUAAGGUAGCGAAAUUCCUUGUCGGGUAAGUUCCGACCUGCACGAAUGGCGUAAUGAUGGCCAGGCUGUCUCCACCCGAGACUCAGUGAAAUUGAACUCGCUGUGAAGAUGCAGUGUACCCGCGGCAAGACGGAAAGACCCCGUGAACCUUUACUAUAGCUUGACACUGAACAUUGAGCCUUGAUGUGUAGGAUAGGUGGGAGGCUUUGAAGUGUGGACGCCAGUCUGCAUGGAGCCGACCUUGAAAUACCACCCUUUAAUGUUUGAUGUUCUAACGUGGACCCGUAAUCCGGGUUGCGGACAGUGUCUGGUGGGUAGUUUGACUGGGGCGGUCUCCUCCUAAAGAGUAACGGAGGAGCACGAAGGUUGGCUAAUCCUGGUCGGACAUCAGGAGGUUAGUGCAAUGGCAUAAGCCAGCUUGACUGCGAGCGUGACGGCGCGAGCAGGUGCGAAAGCAGGUCAUAGUGAUCCGGUGGUUCUGAAUGGAAGGGCCAUCGCUCAACGGAUAAAAGGUACUCCGGGGAUAACAGGCUGAUACCGCCCAAGAGUUCAUAUCGACGGCGGUGUUUGGCACCUCGAUGUCGGCUCAUCACAUCCUGGGGCUGAAGUAGGUCCCAAGGGUAUGGCUGUUCGCCAUUUAAAGUGGUACGCGAGCUGGGUUUAGAACGUCGUGAGACAGUUCGGUCCCUAUCUGCCGUGGGCGCUGGAGAACUGAGGGGGGCUGCUCCUAGUACGAGAGGACCGGAGUGGACGCAUCACUGGUGUUCGGGUUGUCAUGCCAAUGGCACUGCCCGGUAGCUAAAUGCGGAAGAGAUAAGUGCUGAAAGCAUCUAAGCACGAAACUUGCCCCGAGAUGAGUUCUCCCUGAGACUUAG